AGCGAACGCUGGCGGCAGGCUUAACACAUGCAAGUCGAACGGGCACUUCGGUGCUAGUGGCAGACGGGUGAGUAACGCGUGGGAACGUGCCUUUCGGUUCGGAAUAAUCCAGGGAAACUUGGACUAAUACCGGAUACGCCCUUCGGGGGAAAGAUUUAUCGCCGAAAGAUCGGCCCGCGUCUGAUUAGCUAGUUGGUGAGGUAAGGGCUCACCAAGGCGACGAUCAGUAGCUGGUCUGAGAGGAUGAUCAGCCACAUUGGGACUGAGACACGGCCCACACUCCUACGGGAGGAAUAAGUGGGGAAGAUUGGACAAUGGGCGAAAGCCUGAUCCAGCCUUGCCGCGUGAGUGAUGAAGGCCUUAGGGUUGUAAAGCUCUUUUGUCCGGGAAGAUAAUGACUGUACCGGAAGAAUAAGCCCCGGCUAACUUCGUGCCAGCCGCCGCGGUAA
rnacentral:rRNA from 1 species